UUAUCCGGAAUUAUUGGGCGUAAAGGGCACGUAGGCGGCAAAUAAGUUUGAUGUCAAAUAUGAUGGCUCAACCAUCAAGAGGCGUUGAAAACUGUUUAUCUAGAAUCUCGGAGAGGUAAGUGGAAGUUCCAUGUGUAGCGGUGGAAUGCGUAGAUAUAUGGAGGAACACCAAUGGCGAAGGCAGCUUACUGGACGAAGAUUGACGCUGAGGUGCGAAAGCGUGGGUAGCAAACAGGAUUAGAUACCCCUGGUAG
rnacentral:rRNA from 1 species